rnacentral:lncRNA from 1 species
AUGCUUGGAAUAUGAAACAUUUUCUCAUGCAGAAGAGAUUGAAAAUAUUUCUCACGGAGGGCUAAGAAACUGCAUCUGGAGGUGGACCUUGCCAUGAAAAGGUAAGUAGACAUAGAGGAAGAGAGAAACAGAUAGAUGAUAGGCAUGUGGUACAUUGAUAUUGAUAGAUUGAUCAUAAGUAAUAGGUAGAUGGGUGAAAGACAGAAAUGGCUGAUAGAAAAGAACAAAGAUAGAUACCAGUAGAUGCAUAUGUAGAUAGAUACAUAGGUUACAGUGAGUGUGUAUGCUUGGUGUCAGAACCCUGCAGCUCAUUUUCAGAGAUCAUUAUGAUAUUAAUUGAAUAUAUUAACACACCUUUGUUAUUGAUUUCAUAGAAGCAGAAAGAACUAACAAAUUGUUCAGUUCUAGAUAUGAGACAACAUGAAGUUGUUAAUGCUAAAAAUGUCAUUCUUCUCUUUCUAAAAAUCAAACUAACCAAACAAUUUUUUUUAUGACCAGUGAAGCCAAAAACUUUACCUAAAGUCUUUUACUUUUACAAAGAAAAAUGCACAUUAGUACAGAGUUUUAGAGCAUGGAUUUGGGUAUUUCAGUUUUAGGUAUAUAUUAUUGUAUAUUUUAUACUAGGAAAAGGAAUUGAGGUAUAUUAGAACCCCAAGGAUGGAUUCUUUAUGUUUUGCAUACAAAAGGUCUAAAUUUCUUGCAGUCAUUCUUCAGUCUUCCAGGAGCCCAGACAGACAAGGGCAUGAGUGGGGAGGAAAAGAACUAAAUGCCUCUUUACUCGUGGAAAACUUUAACCGUCUUCUGCAUCAUUGUCAGGCAUGAAGUCUAUCUCUCCAAAGAAAAGAACAGAAUCACACUGCUACAAAUGAGUUUAGAAUUCAAGACACCCAAACACACACACACACACACACACACACACACACACACAC